AGAGCUUGCUUUCUCGAGCGAGUGGCGAACGGGUGAGUAACGCGUGAGGAACCUGCCUCAAAGAGGGGGACAACAGUUGGAAACGACUGCUAAUACCGCAUAAGCCCACGGGUCGGCAUCGACCAGAGGGAAAAGGAGCAAUCCGCUUUGAGAUGGCCUCGCGUCCGAUUAGCUAGUUGGUGAGGUAACGGCCCACCAAGGCGACGAUCGGUAGCCGGACUGAGAGGUUGAACGGCCACAUUGGGACUGAGACACGGCCCAGACUCCUACGGGAGGCAGCAGUGGGGAAUAUUGCACAAUGGGGGAAACCCUGAUGCAGCGACGCCGCGUGGAGGAAGAAGGUCUUCGGAUUGUAAACUCCUGUUGUUGAGGAAGAUAAUGACGGUACUCAACAAGGAAGUGACGGCUAACUACGUGCCAGCAGCCGCGGUAAAACGUAGGUCACAAGCGUUGUCCGGAAUUACUGGGUGUAAAGGGAGCGCAGGCGGGAAGACAAGUUGGAAGUGAAAUCCAUGGGCUCAACCCAUGAACUGCUUUCAAAACUGUUUUUCUUGAGUAGUGCAGAGGUAGGCGGAAUUCCCGGUGUAGCGGUGGAAUGCGUAGAUAUCGGGAGGAAC
rnacentral:rRNA from 1 species